rnacentral:rRNA from 1 species
UACGUAGGUGGCAAGCGUUGUCCGGAUUUACUGGGUGUAAAGGGCGUACAGCCGGGCUGACAAGUCAGAUGUGAAAUCCCGUGGCUCAACCGCGGAACUGCAUUUGAAACUGUCAGUCUUGAGUACCGGAGAGGUCAUCGGAAUUCCUUGUGUAGCGGUGAAAUGCGUAGAUAUAAGGAAGAACACCAGUGGCGAAGGCGGAUGACUGGACGGCAACUGACGGUGAGGCGCGAAAGCGUGGGGAGCAAACAGG